rnacentral:lncRNA from 1 species
AACAAAUACCUACCUUGUCAUGGAACCCUCAUUUUUUAUCCUUAUUUCUGAUUCUUAAUACAUAAUCCUACGGUUGUGUUGAUUGGUUGUGAGCUGGCAUCAUUGUUAGGUUUGCAGUUUGCUUGUCGUAAGCCAAUGUUGUAGAGGGAAAUGUACAUUUGUCAGUAAAUGUUGUAGAGGGAAAUGUAAAUUUGUCAGUAAAUUUUCUUAUAGUGUAUUAUUAUUUUUUUCCCCGAAGUACAUAAACAAUGCUAGUUUUGAGCCUCUGGGCUUUAUGAAACCAAAAAACUGGCAUCUACUAUGCAAAUGAGCA